CCUACGGGAGGCAGCAGUGAGGAAUAUUGGUCAAUGGACGAGAGUCUGAACCAGCCAAGUCGCGUGAAGGAUGACUGCCCUAUGGGUUGUAAACUUCUUUUAUAUGGGAAUAAAGUGUUCCACGUGUGGGACUUUGUAUGUACCAUAUGAAUAAGGAUAGGCUAACUCCGUGCCAGCCGCCGCGGUACUACGGAGGAUCCGAGCGUUAUCCGGAUUUCUUGGGUUUAAAGGGAGCGUAGGUGGAUUGUUAAGUCAGUUGUGAAAGUUUGCGGCUCAACCGUAAAAUUGCAGUUGAAACUGGCAGUCUGGAGUGCGUGAGAGGUGGGCGGAAUUCGUGGUGUAGCGGUGAAAUGCAUAGAUAUCACGAAGAACUCCGAUUGCGAAGGCAGCUCACUGGA
rnacentral:rRNA from 1 species